CAGAGCGGGAGACCGGACCGGGGAGCCAAGCGGCGGCGUUGGCUGCGGGGGCGACGGCGGCGGGGGUGGUAAUGGCGGAGCUGGUGCAGGGGCAGAGCGCUCCUGUGGGGAUGAAGGCCGAGUGCUUCGUGGACGCCCUGCACCGGGUCCGACAGAUUGCUGCUAAAAUCGAUUCAAUUCCUCACUUGAAUAAUUCCACACCUCUAGUGGACCCCUCAGUAUAUGGAUAUGGAGUACAAAAACGGCCCUUGGAUGAUGGAGUAGGUAACCAGUUAGGGGCCUUGGUACAUCAAAGGACAGUAAUAACAGAAGAAUUCAAAGUGCCUGACAAAAUGGUUGGAUUUAUUAUCGGCAGGGGAGGUGAGCAGAUUUCACGGAUUCAAGCAGAAUCUGGUUGCAAAAUUCAGAUUGCUUCAGAGAGUUCUGGGAUUCCAGAGAGGCCCUGUGUACUUACCGGAACCCCAGAAAGUAUUGAACAAGGCAAAUGGCUCCUGGGACAGAUUGUGGACCGCUGUCGAAAUGGACCUGGCUUUCAUAAUGACAUAGACAGCAACAGCACAAUCCAGGAGAUUCUCAUUCCCGCAUCUAAAGUGGGUCUGGUCAUCUGCAGAGGAGGGAAAACAAUCAAGCAGUUGCAGGAGCGGACAGGAGUGAAGAUGGUCAUGAUCCAGGAUGGCCCGUUGCCCACGGGAGCAGACAAGCCUCUUCGUAUCACUGGAGAUGCAUUUAAAGUACAGCAAGCAAGAGAAAUGGUACUAGAGAUUAUCCGAGAAAAAGACCAAGCUGACUUUCGGGGUGUACGUGGUGAUUUCAACUCCCGAAUGGGAGGAGGCAGUAUAGAGGUAUCUGUGCCUAGGUGUGCUGUGGGCAUUGUAAUAGGAAGAAACGGGGAAAUGAUCAAAAAGAUCCAGAAUGAUGCUGGUGUGAGGAUUCAGUUUAAACCAGAUGAUGGGAUUAGUCCAGAAAGAGCUGCUCAGGUCAUGGGCCCUCCGGAUCGGUGUCAGCACUCAGCGCACAUCAUCAGCGAGCUGAUUCUUACAGCCCAGGAAAGAGACGGCUUUGGAGGCCUGGCAGCAGCCAGAGGAAGAGGUCGUGGCCCUGGCGACUGGAGCGUGGGAGCCCCUGGUGGCGUCCAGGAGAUAACAUACACGGUGCCAGCCGAUAAGUGUGGCCUUGUCAUAGGCAAAGGGGGUGAGAACAUCAAAAGCAUCAACCAGCAGUCAGGGGCGCACGUGGAGCUUCAGAGGAACCCCCUCCCAACAGCGACCCCAACCUGCGGAGAUUCACCAUCAGGGGGGUUCCCCAGCAGAUCGAGGUGGCCAGGCAGCUCAUAGAUGAGAAAGUUGGCGGGACCAAUCUCGGAGCACCUGGAGCCUUCGGACAGAGUCCCUUCAGCCAGCCACCUGCCCCACCUCAUCAAAAUACCUUUCCUCCGAGGAGCUCCGGGUGCUUCCCAAACAUGGCUGCCAAGGUGAACGGGAACCCCCACAGCACCCCCGUGAGUGGUCCUCCGGCCUUUCUGACCCAGGGCUGGGGCAGCACCUACCAGGCGUGGCAGCAGCCCACACAGCAGGUCCCAAGCCAGCAGAGCCAGCCGCAGAGCAGCCAGCCCAACUACAGCAAGGCCUGGGAAGACUAUUACAAAAAACAGAGUCACUCCGCCAGUGCUGCUCCUCAGGCCAGCUCCCCACCGGACUACACAAUGGCCUGGGCAGAAUAUUACAGACAGCAGGUCGCUUUCUAGGGACAGACGUUAGGGCAGGCACAGGCCCACAGCCAGGAGCAGUAGGACAGUGUCCUCGUGGCCAACUUUCCCUCAAAAUCAUUGUCAAAGAAAACCUAUUUGUAACAGAGGUUUUUACAUUUGCAAACCUUUUGAUGAAGAACCGUUGUUUUGUUCUGUGAAACACUAUAUUUAGAUUAACGGAAUUUUUCUAAAAAUCAGGAAAAUUAGUUACUAAAAAUUGCUGAUCAUUUUUGUUUCAUUAUUUUCGUUAUUUCAAAUGUAUAAGCUCUGGGGUUCUUUUUGGAGCAAUACCUACAAAGUCAGGCGCCGGAACGGGCCUCAGAGCUGCGACAUUUCAACAUGAUGGUUUCGGGUUUGUUUGGUUUUGUUU